rnacentral:lncRNA from 1 species
AUGAAAUGAAAUGAUUCGGUUCGGUUCGGUUUGAAUGAAAUGAACCUUUUCAAUAUGUAGGUUUUCUGCACUCGGUUCCUUGAACCUUCAAAAGAAUAACACAGGAAGAUAAACCAUACAAGUAAUACACAAAACAAUGAACAUGGUACUGAAAUGAAGAUUAAGACCAUGAACAUCACAUAAAACUCUACCUCAAGUUACAUAUCAAGAUGAUAAAAGGUGAGUACAUGGCACGUGUAAGGGAUGCAUUCCCAGCAUAAACGCUUAGACCCCUCCUCCUAAAUACUGUUGUUAGCAUCAACCGCGAAUGCGUCUCUUACAACCCAUGUUUUCACACACAAGAGGGAAUAAAAGAGUUCAAACUUCAAACUAAGAAGAAGAAAAAGAGAUAAAACCCAAUAAAAGGAGAAAAAAUAACAAAAAAAAAAAAAAAAAAACCCUAAAUCAUCCUAAAAUCGGACCAUCUUCACUCGAUUCCCCACAAUGCAAUGUCACUCUCCCAGUUCUGAGGCUUCCAUUUAAGCUAGAACUCGGGAGAGGGCAACUGCAAAGCUUGAUUUUUCUUCUUCGUCUUCUUUUCUCAUGAAAGGCGACUGUUAUUUACACGAACCCCACGUUUGGCAUGGCACUAGAAAACCACCACCUGCAUCUUCAAGUUGUUGGCUAAACAACAUCUCCAUUUCUUUGUGAUUCAAUCCAAAAACCUGUAAUUUCUUCAUGAAGCUUCAAAGGAAAAAGUGAGACACAGGCAGUAGAUGUAUGACAAAGGUUCAUAUAUAGGAGAGGAAUGUGAGGUUAAAGGGGGAAAAGAAAGUGGAGGAAAGGGUAAAGUGGAAGGAGACAAGUAGGGUCAUAUUUAAAGAAGAAUUCG